ACACAGUUUUCGCUGAAAACUACUUGAAAACUUACAUUCCACUCAUCAUCGGUGCCUGCUCUAGUUUAAUCGAUGUUUUUGGAAGACAUAUUUUGCCGGCCCUAAAUUGUCACUUGAUAUUUGUUUACAUUUCAUAUACAAAAACAGCUGUCGCUUGAUAUUCUCAUAUUAGGGGGAUUCUCUUGCUCUUGCAAAACCUUGCACGGUGCAGAAAUUGCAGAAUUUUCCUCUUUGUGCAACGGCAUAACAACAAACACACGCAGUAAAUUAUUAGCAAUGGCUAUAAAUAUAUCAGACCAAAACCCACGUUUAUUUCCGUGCCGUCAUAUAUCACUAGAUUCUGCAAUGGGUGCUCUCUUGGCCUUGCAUAUUUCGGUUUAGGAUUUUUGCAUUUUGUGUCAUCAUGCAAUCUUGCAAGAGCAAUAGAAUGCCGCUAUUGAUAGUUGCCAGUGAAAACUCAUCGAAAACACACAUUGUCGGUCCGAACGACUUAGAUUCCACAACAUACAAAUGUGUUUUCAAAACGUUUUCAAUGUCGGUCCGAACAUAGUAUAAAGGAAAAAUUUCCGAUUCAACUAUCGUCGCCAACAUCGCCAAUGUUAAAAUUGUGUUGCGUCCUUAGAUUUUUUGCUCAUAGGAGCUAUCAGCAGACAGUGGGAAAUGAUUUUCAAUUAGGUAUUACGCAGCCCAACGAAACAGAUUUUGAUGGAAAUGCUCCCAUUAUUGGAAUCCACUCUUUCCAGUGUCUGGAUCAAAACCGACAUAAAUGAAGAGCAAAAACAACUAACAAGAAGGAAAAUGUUCACCAGAUCAAGAAUUCCGCUAACAUAUAUAUACAAAUCGAAAAAUAUUUUACUAAACAAAUAAAUAAAAUAAAUUACUUAUUAUUA